rnacentral:snRNA from 1 species
AGAUGUGAGGGUGAUCUGGCUGCUACAUCUGUUACCCCAUGGAUCGCCAAGGCUGAUUUGGCUAAUCUGGCCAGCUAGGCAGUGCCCCUCUCCUCCCUCUCCACUCCAUGUAUGUCCCUCCCCGUGGCUGUACACUCAGUUGAAGAGGAUGAAGACCUUCCCCAAUAGAGGAGGGUUGGUCUUCAGUCAAGAGUAUACAAGCAGCUGAGCUCCCUGCUAGAGCCUCCAAACAAGCCCUCAGAGACACAAACCUGAAAGCCUCAUGUAGCAAAUAGAAUUCUGCUGCCAGCCAGUAUACCUUAACUCCACUCACAGAAGCCUUCUGCAUCCAGCAUGCAAGGUAAACAU